GCAUAGGUGGUAUAGUGGUAGAGCACGCAUUCUCGGUAUGGAUGAAAUAGGGGUUCAAUUCCCGCCUGAGGCC